GAAAUAAGUAAUUUAACAAGAUUAAGCUUCUAACUUAAACCUUUAGCGGUUAAAAUCCGUUAUUAUUUCU
rnacentral:tRNA from 1 species